UCAUGAAGCUCAGUUCUAUCCAGCGGCAGUACCUCUUGGCCAACGCCUCUUUAUCACGACAUUCUACAGGAUGACGUCGCUGGAGGCUCUAAACCCAUUGCCCGCGGUUAGCUGGGUCCACACAAACCAAGACCACCCUGCUAAAAUACGUGUCACAAUAUACGUCGAUCCUCCACUGAGCUUGUAUUGGCGAUAUUGUAUACCGUGUGUAUGAGAUGGGGAUUACCCGAAAACUUAGAGACUUCCGGCUCGAAUGCAGGUCAUGUGCUACCUUGCCUGCGUUGUGCGACAGGACGACAAUUGGAGUG
rnacentral:sRNA from 1 species